UUUCAAAGGUUUUUUUUUAUUAAGGUUUUAAUUUAAUGAAAAUUAUUACUGAUUUAAUUCCCGGUUUUGUCCCUAUUAAUACAGCAAUUCAACUUUACUAAUUUCGAGUUAGAUCAACUGCAUAUCGAUUAAGUAUGGGAAAAUCUAUGUAAGUGAUACCGAGUUAGACACCUAGUCUAAUCCAGUUCAUUUUUUGAAGACCGCGAAAAUUCAUUUGACUAUUUGUGGCAAAAAAAAAAAAUCUCUUCAAAGAUCAUAAGGGGUUCUAUGAAAUCACUUCAGAGAAACUUUGUUAUACAGAUGUCUAUCACCAAGAAGAUACUGGUCAAAGUUCAAUAAUAAAUGAAAACACUUCUGUUCGGUCAUCUCUAUUAUCGAC
rnacentral:misc_RNA from 1 species